GUACCGGCUUUGGCAACACAUAUACUAAAAUUGAAAUGAUGCAGAGAAGAUUAGCAUGUAUCCUGCACAGGGAAAUAAGAGUUGGAGCCUGGCUUC
rnacentral:snRNA from 1 species